CGUCAGAUAGCUCAGUGGUCUAGAGCAGUCGGCCGGCAAGCGAAAGACCCGGGUUCGAUUCCCGGUCUAGCGA
rnacentral:tRNA from 1 species